rnacentral:rRNA from 1 species
CGCUAUCUACAGGCUUAACACAUGCAAGUCGAGGGGCAUCAGGAAGAAAGCUUGCUUUCUUUGCUGGCGACCGGCGCACGGGUGAGUAACACGUAUCCAACCUGCCCUUUACUCGGGGAUAGCCUUUCGAAAGAAGGAUUAAUACCCGAUAGCAUAAUGAUUCCGCAUGGUUUCAUUAUUAAAGGAUUCCGGUAAAGGAUGGGGAUGCGUUCCAUUAGGUUGUUGGUGAGGUAACGGCCCACCAAGCCUUCGAUGGAUAGGGGUUCUGAGAGGAAGGUCCCCCACAUUGGAACUGAGACACGGUCCAAACUCCUACGGGAGGCAGCAGUGAGGAAUAUUGGUCAAUGGGCGCUAGCCUGAACCAGCCAAGUAGCGUGAAGGAUGAAGGCUCUAUGGGUCGUAAACUUCUUUUAUAUAAGAAUAAAGUGCAGUAUGUAUACUGUUUUGUAUGUAUUAUAUGAAUAAGGAUCGGCUAACUCCGUGCCAGCAGCCGCGGUAAUACGGAGGAUCCGAGCGUUAUCCGGAUUUAUUGGGUUUAAAGGGAGCGUAGGUGGACUGGUAAGUCAGUUGUGAAAGUUUGCGGCUCAACCGUAAAAUUGCAGUUGAUACUGUCAGUCUUGAGUACAGUAGAGGUGGGCGGAAUUCGUGGUGUAGCGGUGAAAUGCUUAGAUAUCACGAAGAACUCCGAUUGCGAAGGCAGCUCACUGGACUGCAACUGACACUGAUGCUCGAAAGUGUGGGUAUCAAACAGGAUUAGAUACCCUGGUAGUCCACGCAGUAAACGAUGAAUACUCGCUGUUUGCGAUAUACAGUAAGCGGCCAAGCGAAAGCAUUAAGUAUUCCACCUGGGGAGUACGCCGGCAACGGUGAAACUCAAAGGAAUUGACGGGGGCCCGCACAAGCGGAGGAACAUGUGGUUUAAUUCGAUGAUACGCGAGGAACCUUACCCGGGCUUAAAUUGCAGUGGAAUGAUGUGGAAACAUGUCAGUGAGCAAUCACCGCUGUGAAGGUGCUGCAUGGUUGUCGUCAGCUCGUGCCGUGAGGUGUCGGCUUAAGUGCCAUAACGAGCGCAACCCUUAUCUUUAGUUACUAACAGGUUAUGCUGAGGACUCUAGAGAGACUGCCGUCGUAAGAUGUGAGGAAGGUGGGGAUGACGUCAAAUCAGCACGGCCCUUACGUCCGGGGCUACACACGUGUUACAAUGGGGGGUACAGAAGGCAGCUAGCGGGUGACCGUAUGCUAAUCCCAAAAUCCUCUCUCAGUUCGGAUCGAAGUCUGCAACCCGACUUCGUGAAGCUGGAUUCGCUAGUAAUCGCGCAUCAGCCACGGCGCGGUGAAUACGUUCCCGGGCCUUGUACACACCGCCCGUCAAGCCAUGGGAGCCGGGGGUACCUGAAGUACGUAACCGCAAGGAUCGUCCUAGGGUAAAACUGGUGACUGGGGCUAAG